rnacentral:rRNA from 1 species
ACAUCCUACGGGAGGCAGCAGUGGGGAAUAUUGCACAAUGGGCGCAAGCCUGAUGCAGCCAUGCCGCGUGUAUGAAGAAGGCCUUCGGGUUGUAAAGUACUUUCAGCGGGGAGGAAGGCGAUAAGGUUAAUAACCUUGUCGAUUGACGUUACCCGCAGAAGAAGCACCGGCUAACUCCGUGCCAGCAGCCGCGGUAAUACGGAGGGUGCAAGCGUUAAUCGGAAUUACUGGGCGUAAAGCGCACGCAGGCGGUCUGUCAAGUCGGAUGUGAAAUCCCCGGGCUCAACCUGGGAACUGCAUUCGAAACUGGCAGGCUAGAGUCUUGUAGAGGGGGGUAGAAUUCCAGGUGUAGCGGUGAAAUGCGUAGAGAUCUGGAGGAAUACCGGUGGCGAAGGCGGCCCCCUGGACAAAGACUGACGCUCAGGUGCGAAAGCGUGGGGAGCAAACAGGAUUAGAAACCCGAGUAGUCC